rnacentral:rRNA from 1 species
AGGAUGAACGCGUAGCGACAGGCCUAACACAUGCAAGGUCGAGGGGCAGCGGGAGUGAAGCUUGCUUCACGUUGCCGGCGACCGGCGCACGGGUGAGUAACGCGUAUGCAACCUGCCUGUAACAGGGGGAUAACCCGGAGAAAUCCGGACUAAGACCGCAUAACGCUGGGAGACCGCAUGGUCCUCCAGCCAAAUAUUCAUAGGUUACAGAUGGGCAUGCGUCCGAUUAGCCAGUUGCGGGGUAACGGCCCACCAAAGCGACGAUCGGUAGGGGUUCUGAGAGGAAGGUCCCCCACAUUGGAACUGAGACACGGUCCAAACUCCUACGGGAGGCAGCAGUGAGGAAUAUUGGUCAAUGGACGGAAGUCUGAACCAGCCAUGUCGCGUGGAGGAGGAAGGUGCUAAGCAUUGUAAACUCCUUUUGCCUGGGGGUAAAGUGGGUCACGCGUGGCCUAUUGCAAGUACCAGGCGAAUAAGCAUCGGCUAACUCCGUGCC